CAGAUUCUUCCGAAGAUGCUGGUGGGCAAACUUGCCAUCAGUGUCGAAGAAAUGAUAGAAACAGAGUAAUUUGGUGUCGCAGAUGUGAUAGAAGAGGCUUUUGCGCGAUAACUGUAUUUCUGCAUGGUACUCAGAAAUUUCAUUGGAAGAAAUUGAAAAGGUUUGUCCUGCAUGUCGUGGUAUCUGUAAUUGCAAGGUGUGCUUACGAGGG
rnacentral:misc_RNA from 1 species